GUGGGCAUAGCACAGUGGUAGAGCUCAUGCUAAGUAUGCAUGAGGUCCUAGGUUCAAUCCCCAGUAUCUCCA
rnacentral:tRNA from 1 species